rnacentral:rRNA from 1 species
GAUGAACGCUGGCGGCGUGCCUAAUACAUGCAAGUCGAGCGAACAGACGAGGAGCUUUCUCCUCUGACGUUAGCGGCGGACGGGUGAGUAACACGUGGAUAACCUACCUAUAAGACUGGGAUAACUUCGGGAAACCGGAGCUAAUACCGGAUAAUAUAUUGAACCGCAUGGUUCAAUAGUGAAAGACGGCUUUGCUGUCACUUAUAGAUGGAUCCGCGUCGCAUUAGCUAGUUGGUAAGGUAACGGCUUACCAAGGCAACGAUGCGUAGCCGACCUGAGAGGGUGAUCGGCCACACUGGAACUGAGACACGGUCCAGACUCCUACGGGAGGCAGCAGUAGGGAAUCUUCCGCAAUGGGCGAAAGCCUGACGGAGCAACACCGCGUGAGUGAUGAAGGUCUUCGGGUCGUAAAACUCUGUUGUUAGGGAAGAACAAAUGUGUAAGUAACUAUGGACGUCUUGACGGUACCUAAUCAGAAAGCCACGGCUAACUACGUG